GACGAGGGGUCCAAGCGUUGUUCGGAAUCAUUGGGCGUAAAGCGGGUGUAGGUGGCUUUGUAAGUCAGGAGUGAAAUCCCCGAGCUUAACUUGGGAAGUGCUUUUGAAACUGCAGAGCUUGAAUGUGGGAGAGGAUCGUGGAAUUCCAGGUGUAGUGGUGAAAUACGUAGAUAUCUGGAGGAACACCGGUGGCGAAGGCGGCGAUCUGGCCCAACAUUGACACUGAGACCCGAAAGCGUGGGGAGCAAACAGG
rnacentral:rRNA from 1 species